rnacentral:rRNA from 1 species
CCUACGGGCGGCUGCAGUGGGGAAUAUUGGGCAAUGGAGGAAACUCUGACCCAGCAACGCCGCGUGAAUGAUGAAGGUCUUCGGAUUGUAAAGUUCUUUUCUCAGGGAAGAAGAAAGUGACGGUACCUUAGGAAUAAGCCUCGGCUAACUACGUGCCAGCAGCCGCGGUAAUACGUGGGAGGCGAGCGUUAUCCGGAAUGACUGGGCGUAAAGGGUGCGAAGGUGGUUUGGCAAGUUAGUAGCGUAACUCCAAGGCUCAACCUUGGAACUACUACUAAAACUGUUGGACUUGAGUGUAGGAGGGGCAACCGGAAUUCCUAGUGUAGCGGUGGAAUGCGUAGAUAUUAGGAGGAACACCAGUGGCGAAGGCGGGUUGCUGGACUGUAACUGACACUGAGGCACGAAAGCGUGGGGAGCAAACAGGAUUAGAUACCCUAGUAGUC